rnacentral:rRNA from 1 species
UACGUAGGAUCCAAGCGUUGUCCGGAUUUACUGGGUGUAAAGGGUGCGCAGGCGGACUGGUAAGUCUGGGGUGAAAUCUCGCCGCUUAACGGCGAAACUGCCUUAGAUACUAUCAGUCUUGAAUCAGCGAGAGGUUCGUGGAAUUCCGAGUGUAGCAGUGAAAUGUGUAGAUAUUCGGAAGAACACCAGUGGCGAAGGCAGCGAACUGGCGCUCGAUUGACGCUCAGGCACGAAAGCAUGGGGAUCAAACAGG